rnacentral:sRNA from 1 species
AGAGGGAGAUACAGAAACCGACAGGGGCCAGGCGCCCGGUGGCUCCGAAGCGGGGAAGUGGGACAAGAUGGUUUACAUCUCGAACGGACAAGUGUUGGACAGCCGGAGUCAGUCUCCAUGGAGAUUAUCUUUGAUAACAGAUUUCUUCUGGGGAAUAGCUGAGUUUGUGGUUUUGUUGUAAGUAUAGAAGAGCUCUUAAUUGCCCUGAUAUUUAAGUUGACAGGUGUACAUCAUGUGCAUUAUGUUAGGGAUCUUAAAUAAGCUCAACUUUCCUGAAACAGUUUUCUAUUGCAAUUUAAAAAAUAGCUUUACACAGGGAAAUAGACGUUAGUGAUAAAGCUGCUACCACCAGAUAGCUUGUGAUUAUGAGUAUAUGUUAGUUGGAUUGGUAAACUUCACCACAUCUUAACCUUGGUGGUAACUACUUCAACCUAUGGCUGGGUCUGUCAAUUCUGAUGCUAAAUGACUGGACCUCACUUUCUCUCUACUAUUCUUGUUUUUUUUUUUUUUUUUUUUUGUGCGUGCAACUUUCAUUCCAUAUUAUAUAACAAGUAAAUAAAAGGUUUUAUAUCCUGGUUU